rnacentral:rRNA from 1 species
AACCCGGUGAUCUAGCCAUGGGCAGGUUGAAGGUUGGGUAACACUAACUGGAGGACCGAACCGACUAAUGUUGAAAAAUUAGCGGAUGACUUGUGGCUGGGGGUGAAAGGCCAAUCAAACCGGGAGAUAGCUGGUUCUCCCCGAAAGCUAUUUAGGUAGCGCCUCGUGAAUUCAUCUCCGGGGGUAGAGCACUGUUUCGGCAAGGGGGUCAUCCCGACUUACCAACCCGGUGAUCUAGCCAUGGGCAGGUUGAAGGUUGGGUAACACUAACUGGAGGACCGAACCGACUAAUGUUGAAAAAUUAGCGGAUGACUUGUGGCUG